AGGCAGCAGUGGCAAACAGCUGAGGUUGUGUGGUGGAACGUGGGUGCUUUGUUGUUUUAGUAUUCGCAACAAAGCUUGCUGCUGCUACUCGUUUGAGUCAGCAGUGCUUUCGUGAGCUGUAACGCUGACUGCAGAGGUUUGCUGCUUCGGUAUAGAGGCCAACGAGAGUACGAACUCACUGAGAGGAAUGAACAACUGUGGACGCGCCGCCUUGAGAGCUGUAACAGCGCGAAGAAGGUCUGCAGCUUCACUCCUGAAACCAGCAAGACCAUGAACCCAGCAGAAGGAAAAACUCCGAACAGUUUUGAACAUCAGAAGUAAACUGGUCACACUGUCUUUAAGAAUUGUAACAGUCACUGUGAGGGUCCGGUUUCAUUCUUUAAGUCAGUGAAACCAAGAACCCACCAAUUCCGGACACAGCACUAGAUCCAGAUUGGCAAAAAAGGGCCCUGGGCUUGCUCAACCGAGAGAGACAGGAGAACGGAGAGGGCAGCCUUAAGGAAGGGUGUGACCUAGAGGCUGGGCCAGGGGGUGGAACCAAGAAGGACGAGCGUAACGCCUGGCUCUUUCCACCUCUGUUCAUCACCAUUCUUUUUGCUGUGAUUCCAACGUUUCGUAUAUGUGAAAACAUUUUGAGGGAAGACUCACGAGAAUCGUUUCACAAACUUAUAAGCAAGAGUUCAGCAAAGUCCCAACGUGGGAAGGUUUGUUCAGAUGGACACAAGGCCUUCUUCAUAAUAUCCUGGGGUACAAGGUGGGCUGCUUAACCGUGUUGAUGUAUGGAACCAGGGUGAGAAUUCUAAAGGACGGUCCUGAAGGUACAGCAAGGACUCAGUUGAGGUGGAAUUCAUGGUGGAAUCUUUUGAUGGGGAUUUUCCUGCUUUGAAAGGAAAUAAUAGGAUGUUUUCAAUGUGGAACAGGGCUGAGGUUCUAACUGCUGGCCUAAAAGAAACAGGGUCUUGCUCUGUCCCCCAGGCUGGAGGGCAGUGGUACAAUCAUAGCUCACUAAAGCCUUGGAUUUCUGGGCUCAAGCAGUCCUCUCUCCUCAGCCUCCCAAGUAUCUAGGACUACAGUUUGGCCACUCUCUAGAAUACCACCACGCAAGAGAUUGGCUGGUUGGAGGAGGAUGCUGACCCACAGUGACAGAGUAGGACAUCUCAUCCAGCCUGGGAGCAGCCGCAGAGAACACAGAUAUUCUGCUACUCUUGCACCAUUCUGAAAAGACAGCCCAUAUCCUCUUUUCCACGCUUUUUGUCUCCAGGUCCACUCUGUUGCUUCUAAAUCCCUUGCUAUUUGGCCAAAUCACUGAGCUGGAAUGAACUGUGUACCCCUAUCUCUAGCCACCCCUCAUUCCAGGAAAUGUAGGGAAUGAAAUAUGUGGCUUGAAGUUCUGCUUACCACAGGGAGGUUCCUCCUCCACUGUCCUUUAGUGCCACUGCUGAGCUGUGAUGCCAUGCAGAGUCAUCUGUUUCUUCCUAAUGAAUUGUUCCUCAGGAAUGUACCCUGAAGAUAAAAGUGAAGCUUGAAGAAAAAGGAACAAGGUGGUGGGAUGAGGCUCUCUGAGAUUGGGUGCUGCAGGCUUGCUAGACAAUGGGGUGCAAAGCUUCUCUAAGAUGAAAUUGACAAUUCCCAGGUCAGCAAGGGCUGCCCAAGUCACACACAUGCCUGGUGUAUCAAUUAGGGAUGCUUCAGGAUGCAAACAACAGAGUAUACAACUCAUAGUGACUUCAGCACAUAGGGCUUUCCUUUUCUCUUGUACUCUUGUAGAAAUAAGUCGGAGGGGAUGCAGGCUCAGUGACCCAGGACCAGCACCUUUGCAGUUAUCUUUGCAGAGACUUCUGCUUUUGUCUUAUUGGCCCAAAAUCUGACCUGUGGCAUCCUACCCCACCCUCAUCUACAGAAGUGGAGGAAUAUUUGAUAAUAUAGCUCCUCCAGUCCUGCUAAUGAUACAGACAUGGGGAUAAGGGUUUGAGCACAUAGGAAUUGGUUUGACAGCCAACAGCGUCUACAGCACCUGGUGAUAUAGUCAGAUGCUGAGUCUCCACAGAGCCUAGUUACAAACUAAGAAAUGUUUUCUCAAAGGGAAGUUAAUUCCUGAUGGAAUGCAGAGGCUCUCAUUCUCCCCUGGGGCUCACUGCGGGCUUCAGACGGCAGCCAAGCUGUUUGGGUACUUUGCCCUUAGUUGGCUCUGCCAGUUUGUAAGUUGAUGAACCCAGCUGCUGUUACUGCAGCUGCGUCACUUGAAAAACUGAUUUCUCCUCUGGGUACCAAUCAAAACUGGAAGUAAUUUGAAAAAACAGUAAGUGAAUCAAAAUGGGCCACCCAAAAGUUAUGGAAUAUAUAUAUCCAAAGUCCAAUGUGUUGUCUUGGAGGUGGGGAGCUCUAGGUUUAGCAGCUUGUCCUUUGUCUCCUUUGUCUGGGAGGGGUAUCCCGAUGUGCCCCAGGACACUAGACCCCAGUGCUUUAUCAGGGUGAGCCCUGCAUGUUCAUGGUGCUCAUCUCCCUCCCUCUGGCAGUUUGCCUUUUCCAGUGAUUUAGGGUGUGCACCGCUUCCUACUGGUUAGAGCCAGAGUGCGAUUUCAUCACUGUAACAGGUUCACGGACUUCUCAGUUUUCCUUUCUACUCAGUGGGUCUAGGAGACAAUAUGGGAGUUAUCCCAGUUACUGAAAAUAACAAUUCCAAGUAUGCAUAUUCUCCUAGGAGAACAGGAACCUGAAACUAGGAACUAGGAGAAUAAUCUUAGGAGGAGCUAUGAUUGACGUUUCAACAACUGCCAAGGGAACUCGGUCUAUACUACACAUAUUUACUAAUCUCCAUGACACCCCUACUCUGACCCAUGGAUAGCAGCAGUGAUCUAGGUCUCAGCAAUCAGCAAUUUUCUUACAACUUUAAUGAGAUACAUUUUACGCAUCAUAUAAUUCACCCACUUCAAGUGUGCAAUUCAUUGAACAGUAAAUUUACCAAGUUGUGCAGCCAUCACUAUUAAUCAGUUUUAGAACAUUUUCAUCAGUCCAAUAAAGUCUCUCUGGCACACAGGUAAAAGAGGUCUUAUUGAACUGAUAGAAAUAUUAUUAAACAGACUUUGAAAAAAAUUGUGAAAUAAUCGCGCUAUAUUCCAUUGUCGUAAUCUACUUAACCGGGACUACCACUUAGAUUGUUUAAUAUCUUGUACAAUGUACAUAAAGAUAUGAUUAACUUCACAGGUGGUAAAUAUUUUCAUGCAUUUCUCAACAUACACCUAGGAUAAAUUUCUAAACGUGGAAUUAGUAGACUAAUAUUUUUAAGUGAAAAGAAAAUUCAGAAAUUAUAAAAAAUUACCAGAGUCUGAAUGAAGAUAAAAAUAGUGAAAGGGCCCUUUGUAACUCUGCAGUUGGCAAAAAUGUCAGGGGAACAAUUAUUUCCAGUGACAGCUGACACCUACUGUGAUAAAGAAGAUGCAGCCUUGUCUCCGUAGGCCCAAAAGUGUCCCUAGGCAGUCCCGGGAGCUUCCCUCUGUGCCUUUACCUCUGCUGCCAGAAAAGUAAUUCCUUAGAAACUGCCCGUUAAAAUUUAAAAUCUGACUGUUCCUGAAAUCUUACAGCCAAAAGUCACAUAAAUGAUCUCAGGUCUGGGCCCAAAUAGGCAGCUGUGAUGUCUUUUCCUUGAGUCUUUUUUUUUCCCCCUUUGGUGUGUGUAUAGUAUUCUGUUUUCAGAAGGCUAGGCCAUAGAGACUCUCACUUGAGCUGCUUUGAGUUGGAUGUGGCCACACUGGGGGCAAAGAGCAGCACUCCAGUGUGUAAGGAAAACAUUCAUCACCUGUCAGAGCCCUCACAUUAGUAAAGCUGAGAAAAAAUACUUCAGUUUCUCACUGUGAGUCAAGGAAGCACCAGGGCUGGAAUUGAGAUGGUGCAAUUUGCAAGUUGCCUCCAAACUACUAAUUUAUCAUCCUCAUUUUACAACAUUUUGCCGCCACCACACCCAAGGGAAUAGCUUUGACAAGCCUUCAAUUCUUCUAUUCUAAAAGAACUAAAUCCAUAGCAUGCACAUGCGCGCGCACACACACACACAAAUUUAAAUGACAUUUAUUAUUUCAAUAGGCAUUUUUCUUGUACUUUACGAUUUUCCAGAAAAUUCUUAAAUAGCCUCUAAAUAGUUUUGCACUCAAGGCAAUAAAUUCUCAGUGUUGAAUGAUUCCAACCAGGUUUUGCUGAGUACAAGUGUCUUGGUUUACCUCUUCCUCAUUUAAGAAGUGGGAGAACAGCCUUUCCUUUUCCAGGCUUUUGAAGGAGUCACAGAAGUUCUGGGAAUUGAAGGAGUUCGAAUAUGUCCCCGCAAGGAUACCUCAGAGGAUCUGGAGAUACCCGGUUCCCAGCAUCACAAGCAGCAUCACCAUGCUCUGCAAGCUGAACUCAGGCUCCACCCAGGCUCUGGGUCCUAAGCCUCCUUUUGCUUCCUAUUACUCAUUGAUAGAUGAUCAAUACAAAUGACAAAGGACAAAGCUAGAAUGAGCCUGUGAUAUCAAGAGGCAUUGGUAUGAACUCACGGUAUUUUUAAUACAUUUACAAAAAUGUAAAAAUAAGUAAUAUGAUAGCUUAUUUUACAUUGUUACUUUACUAUUUAUUAUUUUGCUUUACAUUAUAAUUAAAAUACAUGUGUCUCCAUAAAGAGGAACAACAGACACUGUGGUCUACUGGAGGGUGAAGCAUGGGAGGAGGGAGAAGAUCAGGAAAAAUAACUAAUGGGUACUAGGCUUAAUACUUGGGUGAUAAAAUAAUCUGUACAACAAACUCCUAUGACAUCAGUUUACCUGUAUAACAAACCCGCACAUGUACCUCUGAACUUAAAAUAAAACUUAAAAAUAACAGUAAUGAUAAAUGCAUCUCAAGAGAAUGAGAAGACAAUCCAUGAACUUGGAGAAAAUAUUUGCAAAAGACACAUCUGAUAAAAGACUGUUUUCCAAAAUAAAGAACUCCUAAAGCUCAACAAUAAGAAAACAAACAAUCUGAUUGAAAAAUAGUCAAAAGACCUAAAUAGACACCUCACCAAAGAAGAUAUACAGAUGGUAAAUAAGCAUAUGAAAAGAUACUCAACAUCAUAUCUCAUUAGAAAGUUGCAAAUUAAAACAGCAAUGAAAUAACACUACCCACCUAUUAGAAUGUCCAAAAUACAGGACACUGACAACAGCAAAUGCUGGUGAGUAUGUGGAGCAACAGGAACUCUCAUUCAUUGUUGGUGGGAAGGCAAAAUGGUGCAGCCACUUUGGAAAGUAGUUUGGCAAUUUCUUUCAAAAGCAAACAUACUCUUACCAUAUGACCCAGAAAUUAUGCUCCUUGAUACUUACCCAAGUAAACUGAAAACUUAUGUCCACACAAAAAUCUUUCCCAGUGAUUUAGGGUGUGCACAACUUCCUACUUGGAAUAUUUUUAUAGACACUUUAUUCAUAAUUGCCUAGAGGGAGGAAGCAACAAUCCAAAACUUGAAAGAAACCAAGAUGUCCUUCAGUAGGUAAAUAGGUAAAUCAUGGAAUAUCCAAACAGUGAAAUAUUACUCAGUGCUAAAACAAGAUGAGCUAUCAAACCAUGAAAAAGUGUGGAGAAACCCUAAAUGCAUAUUACUAAGUGAUAGAAGCCAACCCGAAAAGGCUGUGCACUGUGUAAUUCAACUAUAUGACAUUAAGUAAAAGGAAAAUGGAGACAGUAAAAAGAUUCAUGGUGGCCAUUAAAUUGGGAGAAGGAGAGAUGAGAGAUGAAUAGACAAGAGUACAGAGGAUUUUCUGGGCAAUGAAACUACUCUAUAUGACACUACGAUGCGGGAAAUUAUACAUUUGUCAAAACCCAUAGAAUACAAAAGAUUAAAACCGAACCCUAAUGUAAACUAUGGACUUUGAGUGAUAAUUAUGCGUUAGUGUAGGUUCACUGCUUGUAACAAAUGUACCGCUCUGGUGUGAGAUGUAAAUCGUGGGGAAAGUUGUGCAUGUGUGGGGACAGGGGUAUGUGAGAAAUCUGUAGUUUUCACUCAAUUUUGCUGUACUCCUAAAAGUGCUGUAGAAAAUAAAGUCAAUUAAUAAAUCAAUAACCAAUUGUGUAUAUACAUAAAUUAGUAUAUAAACAGAUAUUUCCUAGUUCUUCCUAAUGUUACUUAGAAGCAGGAACACCCCAGUAGCAACAAGCAAUCCUAAUGUCCAGGUCUUGGCUCCUAAAUACAAACAUUUUCUAAUAAAAUAAACCAGGGCUCCUGGAAAAAAUGCUUGAUUCUAAGUGUUAUGGACUAAGUGUUUUUGUGUCCCCUGCCUCAAAGUCCUAUGUUGAAGUCCUAACCUCUAAUUUAAUGGUAUUUUGUGAUGUGGGUUUUUGGAGGUAAUUAGUGUUAGAUGAAGUCUCAUAGAAGAAGACACACUAGAGAGUGCUCUCUCUCUUCACCAUGUGAGCACACACCAAGAUGGCAGUUUCCUACAAGCCAAGAGAGAGGCCUCAGAAGGAAGUCUUCCUUGUAGGCAGCUUGAUCUUGAACUUCUUGCCACCAGAACUAUGAGAAAUACACUGCUGUUGUUUAAGCCACUCAUAUGUUAUAGCAUUUUGUUAUGGCAGCCCAGCUGACUAAUUCACCAAGGCUGUGACAGGAACAAUCGAACAAUCCAGGAUGAGCCUGGAGUAUCUUGUGGCAAGAGAAAGUAAAUAAGUACUAUUCAAAAAAAAAAAAAAAAAAGGAAAGUAUAUUAAAAGGACACAAAACCUAAUCUAAAGAGUUGAUAAUGGACAAAACUGGAACAAUUUGAGCAAUGAGCUAAAAGAAAUAACUAAUAGAUAAACAUCUGUAAGUCUAUAUUACAUAAAUGAUUUAAUAGACAAACAAAUGAGGGAAAGGGUGUAACU